AAAAAGUGUGGGGGGAAACAAAGAAAGGUCGAGGCUGGGGUUCUUGCAACCUGCGACUGCGCCAGCGGAAAUCGAAGGGCGAAAAAGCUUGCAUCCGAUUCUGGGAAGACGAGGGUUCUCUACCUGUUCCCUUUAUAGUCUGUAAGUCGCUACGAUUUUCUUUUUAUUUUCCAUUUCCCUUAUCUUGUUUGAAGCGUGUUUAAUCGAUCUAUCACUUUCCCUAAUAUCUUUUCAAUUCACUCCAUUUUUCUUUAUCAUUCCCCUCCCAAUUUCACUUUUAUCAACUGGUUUGUACAAACCCUUUUGGAAUGCCGUCCAAUUUGGUUGUUGCUCAUGUAUUUCUGUUUUUGCUCGUUUUCCCACUGUUUCCCACCGUUGGACCAAUUGAACGGAUGAUUUUAAUUUUCUUGUCUUAUCUGGGUAAUGAAUUGGUAUUGUACAUGUUUUGUGGGUUCUUCUCAUUGUGAUCGCAGUUUCUUUGGAUUUGAGAAGCAUAUUAGGGUUCACUCGGGAAAAAUGAACAGUAAAGAACAUAUAGGCAAUUAAAGGUUCAGUGUCGCUCUUUCUUCCUUAGAAUGAUCUCGCACUGUUUUCUAUGUGUGAAUGUGAGAAUAUAAGGUGGAGAUCUUUUUAUCAUUGGUAAAAUAUCGUCAAAACCGUCGUGUAAUCUAACUUUAAUAUGUAUGUUUGGGAUGUUAGUAGCUUUUUGCAUUCUCUCAACCUAUGCCUGGACUAGUCUUUGGGUUCGUUCGGUAGGUUAUCUUGUGGCCAAAAACUCCUACUUUCUGGUUGUGAAGGCUAGAGUGAAUUGUGGAUGUUUACAUGCAAAGACACCGCCCAGAAAAACUAAUGUUAGAGUAGAUAGAGGGAGAACUGGAAUGAUUUAAUUGAGUCAUAACCGAGGUUGAAUGUAUAGUGUUGGACAAGGCUUCUGAGGGGGUAUGAGGUUAUGGCAUUGUGGGAUGUUUGUUGGUUGAGGUCCCUAAAAGUGUGCGUUAUCUGUAGAAGGAGGCCAACAAUGCAACCCAUCUCAUCAUGACAUGGUGAGAUUGCAUUCUCUAGAUUUAAGUAUGCCUUUUGUUUGUGAAUGGGUUGCCUGGCUUGACACCACUGCAGGUACAUAUGAAUUAUGGAACUGUUUUGCCGCUCCCCUCAUACACCUGGUUAUAGCUGCCUCUUGGUUAAAGGAAUUAGGUUUUUGUUGGAAAACCUUCUUAAUUGCUGUCAUUCCUAGCUCACUAUAAUUUAGCCUCUUUUGAGACUUCCUUAAAUUGAACCUUUUGGAGUGUAGUCUCUCUAAACUAGACAUGACUCAAAUAGAGCUUAUAAAGCUUGGGCAAUCCUCCUCUAACAAGUCAAUUUUGUGGGGUUGAGUUAAACUUUUAGUUUAAUUCUAAGAUGGUAUUAGACAUGGUAGUCAAAAUCGUGAUUAAAAACGUCGAAUUGCAUGAUUCACGAUUCUGCCCCCCAUGUCCAAUUUAGAGCACAUGCAAUAUUAUGCCAGAGUAGGAUCGUUAUCGAAGAUUUUGGAAAUGGUGGAAUCACCGUGUUUUUUUUGUUUUAUCUCAUUUUGAGGUUCUGGGUUUUGCUCGCAAAAACUUUUAUUGGGUCAAUGGGUUUUUGGUUUAAACCCAAACCCAAUAAAAAAGUGUUCUUCAUGCACAGAUGGUUCUAUGUGCCUUCCCUAAAGGAAAACUGCCAAAGAUUGUGGAAACAGUGGAAUCACCAUGUUUUCUGUUCUAUCUCAUUUUGAGGUUUCGGGUUUUGCUCGCACAAAAACUCUUAUUGGGUCAAUGGGUGUUUUGGUUUAAACCUAAGCCCAAUAAAAAAAUUGUUCUCCAUGCACACAUGGUUCCACGUGCAACCUCCUUCCCUAAAGGGAAACCCGACCAAUUGUGUAGGUUGUGAUUGCUCGACCAACCACACCAGACAUGGUACUUGUUAGACACACUUUAACACUCAUUAAUCUUUUUUCCAGCUCAGACACCUUUUUGACACUGUUUGGACACCUCUCCAACCCAGCUGAGCACGAGUAAAGAAAGUUGACAUCUUUUAUUGGCUAAAUGCUGCGUAGAUACUAGAUAUAUCAUAAAAAAUAAAAGAAAAUCAAGUUUAGGCCCAUUAUUUUUUUAAGGCUUGUUUCCAUUGGACUUAACUAGUUCUUAUAAUUAGUAAGAAAUAUGUUUCUCAAUAUUCUAUUUUCGAGGGUCACUAUUAUAUGGAAAUUGGACAGGUUUGAUUUUAGAAUUUGAUUUAUAUAAAUCUUAAUUCUCAAUUUAGAUUUUGUUAUGUUGAUUAUAUUUGUAUAUAUAAGCGGUGAGUGUUCCCAUGUCACUAUUAUAUGAAAAUUGAACAACUUGAUUUUAGAAUGUGAUUUAUACAAAUCUUAAUUCUCUAAUUAGAUUUUAGUUGUGUUAUUACAUUUGUAUAUGUUAGAUAUUAUUAGAUUACUAGAUACAAGAUAUUAUAGAUAUUGUUAGAUAUUUCUAUCUAUGUAAUGGGCUUGGCCCAUAUUUUCUGUAUGUUUCUUUUUCUAUAUAAACAUAACCCUAUGUGUUCAAUAUACACAAAGGAUUUUAGACAUUGGCUGUUUCCUUGUGCUUGUGUUGUGUCAAUUUUGUGCCAGAGUCAGAGCUUCAUAGGUUAGAACUGGUCAACAACAAGCACUCAAUUAUAAACCAUGAUGAUGAGUGGAUCUUGGACCUAAGCCAGAUCAUCGGGACUGAACAGGCCCAACAGGGCAAGGAUUAAUUGCUGGAUCCAAGACCAAAAGAAAUUCAGGAUCUUGAAGGUUUAUGACAACUGGAAGCACGAUGAGUAAGAGGAAAUUAAUUAGCUAGCUGAUGUGCCAUGUUUGUUAUGUAGGAGAAGGCUACAUGUUUAUAGGGAGGAGGGUUAGUAAUGCUGGGUCGUUCUUUUACUGGAAGAAAGUUUAAGAAAGAGUUCUCUUGGAGUAGCUGUAGGCUCUAGUUAUUGUCUUCUUGCUUUUACAAGCUUCUUGUUCAUUACUAUAUUGAUCCAUGCCUUUCCUUUUAGUUUUCACUGUUCAACCUUGGUGAUGGGCUGAACAUGAUGCAAAGCAUUUAAGAACAUCUAAAUAUACCCAAGUGAAAUUCUCUUCUAACUACCCUCUAUUUUCUUUUGUUGCUAUAUUUUUUUCUUUCUUUUUCUUUCCUCACAAGUUUUACUGUGGAUUACAAUUUCUGCAUUUCUUUAAUAGUAUUCAUGAUUCCAGGCACAUGAUAUUCGCUUAUUUUUAUAUGUCUUUCAGAAUCUUUCUGCUACAUGAUGUUGAACAAAUGAUACAGAAUUGAUUCUGUGCACAGAAAAAACUGGUAUAUAUGGCAGGACUUAUGCCUGGAGAGUUGCCAAAUCAUGGAGCAUCUGAUGGAAACUCUGGUAAAAAUUCUAAAGACAAGCAAGAGGAAUCAUUGGGUCGCUGGUAUAUGUCUAGAAAAGAAAUAGAGGAACAUUCCCCAUCAAGAAAAGAUGGGAUUGACUUGAAGAAAGAGACAUAUCUGCGCAAGUCAUAUUGCACAUUCUUGCAGGAUCUGGGCAUGAGACUUAAAGUGUGAGUUUGCUGCUACUGAUAUUAUAAAUAAUUAUUUCUUUCUUGAUUCACAUUCUUGAUUCACAUUCUUGCUCUAAUGGAUGUAUGUUUCAUUCUGUUGUUUUACUUUAUCUAUAUUUCCCUUUCACUUCUGCAACCCCUUAUUUUCUUUCCAAUUUCUUAACAGUGAUGUUUUUGAUGAAACCAUUCCUAAAAUUAUACUGCUUUUUAUCUGAAUGAUAUACCCCACCAGUGCCAGAUAUUGAAAGCAUUAUCAACAUAUGCUGGCUUAAUUUGUUUUGCUAUUUGGUUAUCCUUUCUGCUUUACUUGGUUCUUUAAUAUCUUAUAAUUAUAUAUUUUUGGAGUAUUUGCAAGAUAGAUAUGGCUACUACGCUUUGAAUGCAAUUACUUUUUCUUUCACCAUGUAAAUAUUUAUAUCCUAUUUUUGAAAUUCAGUUGGAGGUUUGUAUAUUAAUUGUAAUGUUGGUCUGUGCAGGCCUCAGGUAACUAUAGCAACGGCCAUAAUCUUUUGUCAUCGAUUCUUUCUUCGACAAUCUCACGCAAAGAACGACAGAAGGGUGGGUUGUUGCACUUUUAAAUAGAUAUUAUGUAGUAGGCAUUUUACCUCUCCAGAGCUUAAGUUGCAACUUAAUUUAGUGUGCUAUGUUUGUGUACUUGUCAUUGUGGAUAACCAGUAUAUAUUAAAUGUAAUAGACAAAUAGAAAUAUCAUAUUACCAUCUAGAAGAUGGUUUGUGUUGUGCGGAAUUAUUUUCCUUGAUUUAAUUUUAAUUUUCAAUGCUUGACAUGCGUGGUUGGUAGAUAAUCUGUGGAUGAUUUUUGUCUAUAAUAUUGGUUGUUUCUCUUGUUUAAAAGCAUAUGCUUGAUUUUUUAUUUUUUUAAAGUAAAUGAAAGCUAACUAACAUGUGUUAUGAACACACACCUAGAAAUUGUGGUGUUGCCAAAUUUUGUCUUGAUGGAAGUCAGAUUAAUAGCAUAGAAGAGGAACCCAGGCUUUAAGAAAUUAGAGUUUAUUUAUGUGCUAACUGUGUUUUUGGUUAUUUAAAAACAUUUUGUGAUAACUAUUCCUGGAGAGGUCAGGGUGUUAUGUCUUACACAUGUCUGGCUGUAAUAUACUACUCUCAGUAUUGAAAAUGUUUUGGGUGCACAUUCAGUCUGGAAAAAUUUCCUAGAUUCUGUACAGUUGAAAGUUUACAUGGGGGAACUGGUAACCAGAAUAACAAAUAAUGAAACGAGGGAGAGAUGGACAUGAAAGAAUGAGUAUUGAUAUUUAAAAAUUGGGCAUAACUUAAAAGGACUUCUAUGUGGAAGAUGUCUAUAUACUGAGUACAGGAUUAUUGUUUCUCAAUAGGGAUUUGUAAUUAAGAAUUUAUAGUCAUUUUUGCCAAAUAUUAUUAAUUUAGGUGGGUUUUCUACUUUGUUUGCAAUCUGGUUUGAGCAGGCAAUCUUUCCAUUUUGUAGUUGAAGGUGAGUGAAUAUUCUAAAUUUGCAACCUUGGAAGUUGACAUUUCUGUGAAAAUUUGAUCAUAUAUCUCAAUUUACUAUUCCAUUUAACUCUUGUAUCUUCUUACAUUUGACUUCAAAUUCCAACUUUAGAGUUUAGUGAACUGUCAAAAUCUUUAAAACAUCUGUGCUUUAUUAUUUGAGUUCUAUAAUAUAAUUAUUUGAUGUAAGGGGAUUGUAGUUAUGCUCAAAUUUUUUAUUACGAGAUUGCUACAUGUGAAAGUUGUGUACUUUGAAAGAUUGAUUACUUACCAGCAUCUCAUAAUUCACUCAAUGAACUUUUUUGCAGACCAUUGCAACAGUUUGCAUGUUCCUUGCUGGGAAGGUUGAAGAGACUCCCCGGCCACUAAAGGAUGUUAUUCUCGUUUCUUAUGAGAUCAUUCAUAAGAAGGAUCCUGCUGCUGCACAGAGGAUAAAGCAGAAGGUGUUUUAUUAGUGAUGGUGCUUUGAUCAGUUCACUCCUGUACAUCAACAUUUUAACUUAGGAUUUAGCUUAAAUCUAUUGCCACUUCAUUUAACUCAAGUGACUUUUUCUUGCUGUCUGUUGUCUUUCACCAAUUGUCUAGUGGACUAAGUUUUUUUCUAUUUGCUUCAAGACUGUGCCUCUCUCCAACUUGUUAGUUUCUAGCCAAAACACCAUCUGUCUAGGUUAUAAUGUCAAACAUGGUGUCCUGAAUAUUGAAAUUCUCUAAAAUGUUUGUCUACCUUGUAAAUUAUGUAUAGUAUCCAAGUUUUUUUUAACUUGCGUGCUUAAUAAUUAGUAAAUUUGAACUGGUUGCCUGGAAUUUUUCUAAAUUUUAUCAUUAAGGAAAUGCUCUUUCCUAUUUUUUGUUGAUCUGUUUCCAUCUCCAACUUCUGUAUAUUGGUAAAGUAUCUACACGGUUCCUUUUUGACUUAUUUUUUACACUCCACUUUUAUUGUGGUUCUUUUUCCUUUACCCUUGAUAUAUUUAUAUUUGUUCAAUGGAAAUCUUAAACGAUGCAGGAAGUGUAUGAGCAGCAAAAAGAAUUAAUUUUACUUGGAGAGAGGGUUGUGCUUGCGACUUUAGCUUUUGAUCUGAAUGUUCAACAUCCAUAUAAACCUCUUGUGGAGGCCAUAAAGAAGUUCAAUGUUGCAAAGAAUGCCCUUGCUCAAGUUGCGUGGAACUUUGUUAAUGAUGGGUAUGAUUAAGUUGCCAUUUGUUUGAGUUUAACAUUGUUAAAUUUAUUUUUUGAAGUAUAUUUCUUCACACACUGGAAAGUGGCUUUCAGGCUGAGGACAUCGCUCUGCCUGCAAUUUAAGCCACAUCAUAUUGCGGCAGGUGCCAUUUUCCUGGCUGCUAAGUUCUUGAAAGUGAAGCUUCCAUCAGAUGGUGAGAAGGUUUGGUGGCAAGAGUUUGAUGUCACCCCACGUCAAUUAGAGGGUUGGUGUCAUCCCCUCAAUUCAUUUGCAUGCUAACUAAAAUUGAUCUGAUUGGAUGGCCUUUUGUGUUCCCUUUGUAUUAAUGCAUUAUAUGAUUUCUGUCAUUGUCAGUUAUCUGGAUGGUUUUAUCCCUGUUUACUCUGAUCAAGUUUGAAAUUUUCACUAGAGAACCCAGUUUAAUGCGGAGUAGUUUAACAAUAGGCUGUCCUUUUGUGUGUCUGUAUGCUUCUGUAUAUCCUUCUCAGUCCUUGUUGGUAUUUUCUCUUGCAGAAGUUAGCAAUCAAAUGCUGGAACUCUAUGAGCAGAACAGACUUCCACCAGCACAGGGAAGUGAAGUAGAAGGAAGUGCUGGAGGAACAAGAUCUACUACAAAGGCGCCUGCUGUGAAUGAGGAGCAAGCGUCAAAGCAAAUAUCAUCUCAAGCCCCCCAACACUCAUCUGUAGAAAGAACUGUGGUGCCGCAAAGAGGAACUGAGAACCAAAGCAACGAUGGAAGUGCAGAAAUGGGCAGUGACAUUACUGAUCACAAGAUGGACUUGGAUAAUAGGGAGUCUCGGAAUUCAGAGCAGUUGACUCAGAAAGAUAACAAGAGAGAUGUGUCAAAUAGAUCUAAAUCUGUCUCUGAUCGAAUAGUUGCAGGAGACCAAGACAGGAUGGUUGGGACUAAGGAGGGUGCAGAACUAGGAAGGAGAGAUGAAUCAGUAUUAUACAAUUCUGGCAGCAAUGUUGGUCGAAAUAUGGAGCGUCGUGAAGGCCCACUGAGUCAUUCACCCAAAGAAGCAAUUAAGAUGAUUGACAAAGAUAAGUUAAAGGCUGCAAUGGAGAAGAGGAGAAAGGAACGAGUGGAAAUGACGUUAAAGAAAGAUGUAAUGGAUGAGGAUGAUCUCAUUGAGAGGGAGCUUGAAGAUGGAGUUGAAUUGGCAGUUGAGGAUGAGAAAAAUAAGCGCGAGAGAAGACAGAACUGGUCUAAGCAUGAUAGUGAAGAUCAUCACGGCAAGAACCAUGAGGAAACUAGAGAUGGUAGACACACGAGCAUGAAGGGGCAGUUUCAGAAAGAUAUGGAUGAGGACAAUGCAGAGGAAGGGGAGAUGAUUGAUGAUGCUUCUUCCUCGUUGAACAAUCGCAAGAGAAGGAUGGGAAGCCCUCCAGGCAAGCAACCAGAGAUGAAAAAGCGGCUCGAUUCCAGUUAUCACAAUGAUCUUGCUGAAUAAAGGAACUAGGAAGGGGGAUAGUUGGUUAUGUAAGACCAGGGAAAACACAAGGAAUGGGGAGCAAACUCAUUGUUGAGGUGAAUAUUCUGCUGUCCUUUAUUUGCCUAUUGUGAUUUGGCUAAUCGGUUGCUAAAGAAUUAAUGAUUCUGGAUGCUCUUGUUUGCCUUAUACAUUUUAUUAUUUAAGGAACGGGAUGCCUCAGUUUUGGUAGUGCCAUUAAAGGCUUAUUAUUAUUGCUAUUUUUUGCGGGGGAGGGGAGGGGGUUGUAUGAGAACCUUAUUGCUAUUUAUUUAAUUUAAUACAUAUGAAUAUAUUUUCCUGAGUUGCGGUGCUAAACAUGCCAUUUGAAAAUAUGAAUUCUAUGUAAACUACCAUUCACCUACUGAGAAUCUCAAGGGAUUUUGGCAGAAAAGUCUGACACAAUGUUAUUAUCAUUUCUUUACGGUUGAGUGAAAACAUAAAUGAUGCAAGUUUAACUUUUUAGGGAUGUUUUAUUAAGAUAUAUAUCACAUUGUCUCUUUCACGAACAACAUAGCCAUCAAUAUCAUUUUAGUGUCAUUGAAGUGGAUUUCAUCGAGGUCGACGAUGCAAGGGAGAGGUAACGUUACGUGUGUGCUGUGUGGGGUGUUGUGUUCGUUCGAGAUAUGCGUCAUUUUUCUUUUAGGAGCCUCACUAUGCAAAUAUUGGUUUAAAUUGACUGAUUUUAAAAAUAAAAUUUCAAAAUCCAAAUUAGCUAAUAUGUGACUGAUUUUAAAAAUAAAAUUUCAAAAUCCAAAUUAGCUAAUAUGAUUUAGAUGUGGUUGAUUUAGUUCAGAUUAAUUGGAUUCAAUUAUAUAUUACAUAAAAAUAUAUAAUUUUUUUUUGUUUAAGGCAAAAAUGUCAAAUAAUUAGCACCUAAUUAUAAUUCGCUUACGUUAGCUAAAUAAUUCAAUCAUUAUAAUUGGAGAUAGACAAUAUUUUUGUAUUGUAAUUGAUAAACAUAAACUAAAUAAUAAUUAAUUUUUUAAAAAUAUACAAUUACAUUAUAUUGACUUAAUUGUAAGUUUAAUUCCUCUACCUUAUCAAAUAUGUAAUUUUAGUUCCUAAUUAUUUAUUUUUUCUUAAGUUUAGUUCUUGAAAUUCUUUUUAUGCAAUACUGUUUUCUUAUUUUUUUUAAAAUUAUUCAUAAUUUUGUUUUAUUUUCAAUUUUAGAAAUAUACUGAAUAAGUAUUAAAUUAAAUUCUGUAACAAGAUUUUCAAUUUUUGUAACAAUAUUACAAGUUUCACGCAAUUAUUUUUUGCUGUGCGUGUUGUAUUGUGUGUUUAGCAAGUUCAUGUAGUUUCUUAUGAUUUUUGAGAUAUUUUCUAAAUAUUUCUCUUAUGCUUUAUAAAAUGAUUUCUAGACUUCCUACCCUUAAGGUAUGUUUCGUUUGUUUCUCACGAAAGAAAAGGUGCUGAGAGAAAGUUAAAAAAUAAAAGUAAUUUUUUUUUAAAACAUGAAAAUCAAAACAUUUUAUGCCUUCAUAACUUUCUUCGCAUAGUCAGAAGAAACCCGAAAAAAGUUAUAUACAUAUAUAUUAUUUAAUUAAUUAAUUUUAAUUUAUUUUUUUACUCUUUUAUUUAGAAUUCAAAUUAUUUUAAUUUUUAUUUAAAAUAAAAUUAUAAUUUAAAUAUAAAAAAUAUAAUUAAAAUUAUAAAAAAAUAUAAUUAAAAUUAUAAAAAAUUAUUAUUAUAAAAUAACAUAAUUAAUCAUAUUUAUAUAUAAUAAAUUAUAAAUAUAAAUAAAAAUAAAAAUAAAAAUAAAAAUAAAUAGUAAUAAAAAUAAAUAUUUUUUUAAUAAUAAUAAAAUAAAUUUAUAUAAUAAUUAUAUUAAUUACAAAAGAGUAAAAAUAAAAAUAAAAAUUAAUAUAAAAAUAAAUUUUUAUCAAAUAUUUAUAAUUAUAAAUAUUUAAAUAAUAUUUUAAUUAAAAAUGAUUAUAAUUUAUAAAUAAAUAAAUCAAUUAAAUUAAUUAUUUAACAAUUUUUAAAUAUAAGAAUAUUUAAAAAUUUCUAGGCAUAUGGUAGAUAAAAAACAAAGCAUUUAUCAAAUAUAUACUGCUAUAACUGUUUGAUUUGGUAAAUUUCUACGCAUAUGGCAGCACCCAAAAUGUAGGUUGGGUUGAAUUUUCCAGGCCCAACCCGAGUCAAAUUGGCUUUUUUCUUCCUCCAUUAUUAGGCAGUUUCUUCCUGCACCCCUACAUUUUUCUUCCUGCACCCCAUAAUGUAAUGCAAAGACAAUAAUAUCCCUAUUAUUUUUUAAAAACCCCAAAAUACACAUAAAAUCCACACUACUCUUUCUUCUUCCAGACAAUGCAAUUCGGUAAUUUUACGGAAUAAAAAAUUCGCAUUUAUUUUUUUGCAUUCCAGAUUGAAAAAUUCAUAAAUAUUCCGGAUUGAUGAAUCCGGUAAUCUUCUGGAUCCAUCAAUCCGUAACAAAAAUUAAACUUCCGGAUUCAACAAUCCGAAAAUCAACAAGUUGCUUUCGAAACAAGGUAAAGGCCAGUUUUGGAAUUUACAAAAUUAUGCGGGUGCAGGAAGAAAAAUGUAGGGUGCAGGAAGAAGAAGUCCCAUUAUUAUUACCUGCACUUGCCAUUACUUUAGUCAUUGUUGCCACUGUGUCUUCUUCUUCUUCUUCUCCACUGCACCUCCGUUUUCUACCACAAUCUUUGAGAGGAAAAAGAACAAGAGAGAGAGAGAGGAAAGCGUGGGGUUGCUUGUUUCGGAAAGCUUAUUCUGGUAAGUAUUGAGUAUGUUUUGGAAUGCCCAUGUUUAGAAUCAAAACUUAUUUCUCAUCUUUAAACUUAUUGAAAUGGUUUCAUUGAUAUUUAGGGUUUUUGGCUGUGUUUAAUUUGGGUAGCUUGAUCGGAUAAGCUUUACUGAUAAGUGCUAAUUAUUUUCAGUCAUACAUUGUUACCUUUGUUUGUUUGGCUAAUGAUGUUUAAUUUAUAGAUAAUUCAUAUAAUUUCUAAACACUAUAGGUAUGGGAAUCAAUAAAACAGAAGUAAACUUAAGGAGGUUGCUUGCGGCUGCACCUCAGCAGCAAAACCAGGCAAAACUUGUGCAUGUAAGUCUGAAGAUAUGUUUUUUCAUUAUUAAUUUUAGAGUUAACACUUGAACAAAUAGGUUGGAUGAAAAAACAUUGUAUAUAUUCUUAUACUAGUGUGUUUCCUAUUGAUGUGAAUGUAUAGGAUACAAAGGAUACAAAAGGAGGUAAGACACUUGCCUAAAACUCUAACCCUAAGGUUGAGUACACUCAAAAGAAAAUAUUAUUAAAAUAACAUUAACGACAUUAUGUCUAUAAUAUUUUCUAAUUUUUAUUGACCUAUAUGUUUUAUUUAGUCAUUUGUUAAAUCUAGAUCAGGUCUUGUUAUAGUGACAUAAAUGAGUUUUUCCACUGAUCUUUUGUAUCUCUCUAGGUUUGAGAAAAGUUCACCUUGGUCGCUCAUUAACUUCUGAUUUGAGUGCAUAGGACUAUCAACAUGCUUGCAAUUUGUCAAACAUGUCUCCUCCAAAAUAUCAAGAACAUAUUUUCUUUGUGAAACGAUGACACAUUCUUUUGAUUGUGUCACUUCAAUACCAAUAAAAUAUUUAGAUGUCUUAAUUGAGCAAUUCUAGGGAUAUCAUUUGUUGUAAUAGCAAUACCAUCAAUAUAGACCAUAUGAUAAACACACUUUUCUGAAGUAUGACAAUAAAACAAUAAAUGAUCUGUCUCACUUUGUUUCAAUCCAAAAGUUUGCACAAUGACUAAAUUUAGUAAACCAAACUUGAGCUGAUUGCUUCAAGCCGUAGAGAGGCUGAUGUAAUUUACAAUCUAAACUGAACUCUUCCUGAGCAACAAACCAAAGAUGUUGCUCCAUGUAAAUUUCCUCCUCCAAGAAUUCUUUAUGCCAAGUUGGUGAAGAGGCUAGUGGCGAAUGACAGCCAUAGCAAGAAAAAGGAGAACAAUGUUGAUCUUAGCCAUAAGAAAAAAAGUAUCACAAUAGUUAAGACCAUAAAUAUAAGUGUAUCCCUUGGCUAUUGGCGACCCGUACCAUCUUCCUGUGUAAUAAAAAGAAUUAACUGUUAGAUCAUUGAUUAGUUUAAACCCCGAGUCAAUUGCCUCAAAGAACUUAAAUUGAAAGGACAAUGAGGAAUGAAUAAGACUAAAUUUAAAUUUAGUGAAGGGGAUAAAGAAAUUGGCCAACUCCUUGAGAUGCCACUUUGGAUCCAUUGGCAACAGUAACAAGAUGAGGAAUUUUGGGGUAAGAAAUGGAGGAAAAGGAAGAAAUGUGUUGCAUAAUUAGGAGAAUUAUGUUAUAAUUAAGUGCAGAUUCCAUUUUACAUUUAUUAGGACAGAUUUGUUAGUGAUUUUAUUUUAUUUGAUUUGUACAGCUUUAAACACUCAUUAUUUCUGGCUUUCAUUGCCUAUUAUUUAUUUCUUUAAUUAGGUUGUAAAACAGUCUAUAAAUAGAGACUGUAAUCACAUUUGUAAGAUAUCUCAGAAAUAAAUUUCAUCUAUUUCUUUCCACUAAAUGUUACUAGACAUAUGGUUUGAAGUACCUGAAUCAAGAAUCCAUGGACUAUGACCUUUCACGAGAAAUGCUUGCAGUUGACACACUUGGCAUUGAAGAGGAUUCACCUUGAUUGAUUAAUUGAUUUACGUUGUACCUAAAUAAUUCUUGGUUCUCUUCAUAAAGAAUUUUAGAUUCUGAUUUUUCAGAUUUACCCAACUGAGUUGCUUUGUUUGGAAAACCAUGCAAGGAAUAACAAUUUUCUUAGGUAUGACCCCUUCUCUUGCAAUAUGAACAUUGAGGAUGUCCACUUCUUCCACCACGUCCUCCUUGUAUGUUUUGACCUUCUCCUUUCUACAAGAGACUGCCAAUGCAGAAGUUUCAAUAACUUCAGGUUGAUUGUCAUCUAUCAUUAGGUUAGGCACACAAAUGAGUCUAGUAAUUAAACCAUUGAUAGAAGAGAUUUGAUCACGAGCUAGAAUUUGAUCACGGCAUGAUCAAAGUUUGAAUGUAGGCUUCUCAUAAUCAAGACUACAUAAGUUCUUCUAUUGAGUGUCACUAUUAAUCUUUUCAAUUCUAUAGCCCUAGCCUUUGCCAUAUGAGAAACCAUAUAAUGGUUGGUUUGUUUGAGGGAAGUUACUCUUUGAGUUGCAUCAAAGAGAUGUUGGAUAUCAUUAGCAAAAUUUUUGUGUGCAUUGUUCCAAAAAGAGAAACAUGUUUUGAAGGAUCGGAGUAUUUCAAAAACAUCAUGUUCAAGUGAUUGCCAUGAAAUAUAGUUGGAAGUGAAUCUUUUGCCACUGGGAUUUGUCUGCAUCAGAAAUAGAGUUGAGUUUGGUUUUAAAGUGGUCAUUGUAUCCUUGACCAAGGAACCAUAAUUCCAUGAAUGCAGAUCAAGACGAAUAAUUCUUCCAAUUGAGCCUUGCACUUGUAAUAAUUGGAGUAGCUGAAAAGAAAGAAGCAUAACCUAUUGAAGCCAUCUUAGAGAAGUGACCAAAACUGAGAACAAAUAAGAGAGACCAUGCGACCCAACACAAAGGUGCGUUGAAACAGAAAACUAAAGUCAUAAACAAAGACAGAAGAGUUCAGUGAGUUAGACAUAGGUGUUAUUGAGAGGUUCUAACAACGGCAAGGCGACAUGUGGAGGAUGCCUGCCACAAAUGGAAGCGCAUAGAUUGGCGCAUUACGACAUGUGGAUGAUCGGUUGGUUGCACAACCACCGCAAAUGGAUUGCACUCCUCAAGGCACACCUAACCCUGACUAUUUUUUCAAAACAACGAUGGUGUGGAGGCAACAAAGAUAAUGAAGAAGAUAGAGUAUCGCUUGCUCUGAUACCAACUUGAAAAAUAAUGUAUAUCUUUUUAUACGAUUGUGUUUCUUAUUGAUGUGAAUAUAUAGGAUACAAAAGGAGGCAGGACACUUGCCUAAAGCCCUAACCCUAAGCCUGAGUACACUCAAAGGGUAAUAUUAAUAAAAUAACAUUACAUUUCAACAUUAACAACAUUAUGUCUAUAAUAUUUUUCUAAUUUUCUUGACCUAUAUGUUUUACUUAGUCAUUUUUUAACUCUAGAACACAAACUUAAUCAUUUGUUGAUUUUGACAUUCUACAGUAUGUUGCUACUUUACGUGAACAAUUGGAACAGUUGGCUGAAGAAAAGACACCCGAGGGCUUACCAAGGUAUCAUUGUCUCUUUAUUCACCAUUUCGUAGAUGUCAUGGAGUUAUAAGUGAAACUAUAUAAUAUCACAACACAAUCAUGGGGCAAUUUUUAUUCUUUGAAAUCUUACCCUUACUUUUAAUAUACUGUGAGUGGUGCAUGUGGGUCUUCAUAGGAUUGGGGNNNNNNNNNNNNNNNNNNNNNNNNNNNNNNNNNNNNNNNNNNNNNNNNNNNNNNNNNNNNNNNNNNNNNNNNNNNNNNNNNNNNNNNNNNNNNNNNNNNNUAAAAGAAAAAAUUAGAUAUACUUUACCCUAAACACAAUCUGAACAUCAUAUGGCCACCCCAAUUUUUGAAUCAAGAUAUGCUACUAUUAAGUACGCUAGGAUUUUUCUUUAUAAUGGGUGUUGUUUGGGUUUAAAGAGUUGAAUGCUAGAAACUACUAAUACUUAUUGAAAUGUUAGGAAUUAAAUGGAAAGAGAAAAGGGAGAAGAGUGAUGCUGUAAUGUAAAUAUUCUAAGACUUUUAUUCAUGCUAAUAUACUAGGUGAAGAACUAGUAUUGAGCAAUGUAUAAGCCCAGUCCAAUAGCAUACCUAACAUAAUAGGAGACUACCCCAAUACUUAUCCUUAUAUUCAAAGGAUAAAUAUAGGUUCAGCAGAUCAUGGAAUAACAGAGUGGAGUUACUUUAUAAUUCACAACAAAUUCUCUCUAAAAUAUUACUCACUUUGAACUUAAGCUAUACGUUCCCAUCUUCUAAGUCUUUGAUAAAAUCUAGGAUUUGUAUAAAUUGUUAGAGUUUACUGGGAAGAGAAAGAAGGAGAUAAUUGAAGCAAGAAAAUUUCAUUUCUCAUUUCAUUUAGAAUUCUGUUACAACAAAGAUUAUAUAGCUGGCUGGACUGAACUAACUACUAAGCCUACAAGGAACCAAAAUAGUUAUGGAGAGUUGCAGCCAGUUGUCACGUGCCAGCUGGCUGGACUGAAUUAACCAAAAACUAACUCAGUAAAAUGUUUGCUCAGAAAAUAUUAAAUUAUAUUUUAUUUCCUUAAAAGCUAACUUUGUUGAUUAUUUUUUUCAUCUUCUUCCGACCCUAGAUAGUCCAAUAUGUUCUCUUUUCUAACUUGUAAGUAAAUUAAAGCUAUUAUAUGCCCUUUACUUUUUAAGUGUGUGCAUUCAUUUGUGUGUAUGUGUGCUCUCCUAAUGCAGGAUUUCAAAGGCUACGUUGAAUGAAUACUCAGAGAAGGUUGAAGCCAUUGCUUCCAAAUUGGUUAACCAUGUGGUAUGUGUUUAUAAAUUAACGUAUCCUGGAGAGAUGUUAAAGUGUGAAAAAGAUCUUUAAGCCAAAUGACUAAUAAGUUAAGGUUUCUCUAUUUACUCAAUCUGAUCUUACAUCUAACUACAAACAACUUUGUUAAAGGGGGAAUUUAUGGAUUUAAUUUUUUUUACAGGAUCUAGUGAAAUGGCUAAUAUUUCAUUUGUUUAAACCUGUUUUUAAAGAACUAAUACACCAGUCUUGUUUCCAAUUAUGUUGUGGGAUAGUAGAACUAGACUGAAUGGUGGGUAUUUGUUGAAGAAAAAGAUGAAACUUCGAAGAAUGUGCUAAAAUUUAAACUAAUUUUUAAGCCAAACUAAGAAGUCCCACAUUUUGAUCAGUAAGUAACUCAACUAAUACAUAAUUCAAAGCAUUGUUGCAUUCCCUAUGUUUGUUGGCUCUACAAAGGUAAUUGCCUCGAUGUAGGAAACAAAUUCCAUAGUAACACAUGUGUUUAUUGUAAUAAGUCAUCGGUAUUGUUAAGUUUGAGUCGUCAAUAUUUACUUUUAUGGCAUAAAAUUUAAGUUGUACACUAAAAAUUAAGAUAAAUAGAGUACUUAAAGUCGCAAGGUAUGUCAAUCCUAUAAACAUAAGGGUAAGGAUCUGCUUGGUUAAGGCUAAGUAGGUAGAUAGUGGUAGGAGAUGGACAUUUUAUUGUGGACACCACUUUACAAUUAUGCACUAAAAUUUAAAAUGUAGAGGUUGAUGUAAGACGAAAAUCUAAUUAUAUUCAUGGGAAAGAAUGCAAAGAGAGGGAUUCUGAAUUUGGUAUUGGAGAACCAAGCACAUGCUUAGUUGUAGCAAGAAAAACCCUUUGUUGAAGGUGAAAACCUCGAAUAAAGUAAAUCUUUUGUCAUGUGAGAUUCAACAAAGUGAAUAAACAUUUGUGUUGAUUUUAGACAAAAAUAUAGUUAAUAAGUUACAUUAGGAUAUGAAGUGUGGUAUUAGAAGAUUCUAGAGAUUUGUUUGUAAUCUUUAUUUUAGGGUUAGAGUUCUCUAUAUAUAGUGGUUGAUGUAUUGUUUCAAAUUAAUGAAUUGAUUUAAAUCUUGUCUUAAUCAUAUUAAUUCUUUUCUAGUUCGUAUCAGAGCACUCGAUCUUGGGGCCUUUGCUUCUGCAUUUCUUUAUGGUCUUAGCUAUGGUUCCUUUUUAGGGUUGCGUGAAAUGCACCUAUUUCCUUUGAUUAUUGAGGUCAAUGUUGUUAAAAUCGCGAUCUAGAUUGUAGGAUUGUCGAUCUUGCGAUUUUUUUGAGAGCAAAAUGUACUGGAUUGCAUUUAGGAUCGAAAACUGGCCGUGGAUCAGAGCGAUCUGGCGAGUCAUGGGUCGGAUCGGAGAAUCUUUGAGUCUCUCCGAUCUGUGACUCGACCCAUUAAAUAAAAAGAAAAAACACUUAAAAACGAGCCCAUGAGGCCCAAAAGUGUUGCACAAAAUCCGCAGCUCUGUGAUUCUCCGUCACCAUUGCUCGUGCCUCUCCUCUCCACCGCUCGUGCCUCCCCCUCUUUCUUAUUUCAUUUGCUGCUGUUUGUCUUUGUGGGUUGAGAUUUUAUAUACCUCUCUCUUAUUUCAUUUUAUAGUUAUAUGUAUUAAACAUUAUCAUGAAUUUAUUUUUAAUUAUGUUAUGUAUUUGGACCUUUAUGGAUUAUGAAUCUAUUUUUAAUUAUGUUAUGAUAGUAGUAACUCUUCUGAGUCGAGUUACGAUCCUUGAGUUACGAGUUUUCAUUCCCUUUCCGAUCCUCUUUCAAGUUACGAGUUUCACAACAUUGAUUGAGUUUGCUUGAAGUGCACCCAACUUGUGUUUCCUAGAACCAACUUUGUCAGUAUCAUUUCCAUUGCCGUUGCCGUUGUCGAAGCCUCCAAUCAGACCGACAAUCUCACUAGGAGAUUUGUUGUCCUUGUCUAUCCCUAUAGUUGGGUCACAAUCAGAGCUGCCAUGUGCUUUCUCACGCGUCUUCUUCCACUUGAAGUGAGUUCUCACACGUCAUGAAGUUUCGGUGUGGCAGCAACAAUUCCUGUGUCGCCAAAGUCGUCUGGAGGGGGUGGUUCUAGAUUUGUCAUUGUUUUGUUCAUGACAACACUGUUCACUGCUUUUUUCUUCAACCUAUCUUUUUUUCAAUUGUUAUUUGUUUAAUAGGAGGGGGUUGAGGAAAUCCUUUAUUUCUUGGCAUGACAACUUCACUAAGUAAUGUUGAUCUUCCGCACAUGCUUGAUGAUAUCCACCUUAAUGGUUGAAUUUAUCUCCAGCGGGCUCUUAUCAAACGAAUAUUAAAGGAUACGAGUAGGUUAAACCAUAUUGAAGGAGAGGCUAUAUCUCCAAAUAACCUAAAUUUCCAAAUUUUGACGAUUAUUACAUGGCAACGAGGAUCCAUGACUACAAAAAUUAGUAGAAAUUAUAUGUUCUACUCUUAUGCUUCUGAAACUUGGGACGACUUUGUAAAUACUUAUUCCAUAUGACAUGAUAUCUCUACAUCUAUGAGUUAGAACAUAAUAUCAAAAUUUAAAAAUUUGGGGGUCUGUGGAUUGAGUUGGACCAAUAUCAAAAUUUGAGGCUUGAAAUUACUAGGGAUGCUGUCAACUUGCUCAAUUCGUUGAACGAUCCUGGAAUUUUAAGUUUUUUUCAGGAUUGAAUCCCGAAUAUGACCCUUUUAGGGGGCACAAAGUCAUUGGAAGGAAAAACUCCCUUCUCUUUCCGAAGAUUUCUACAUUGUCUGAGGUGAGGAAACUCGUCGAAUGGUCGUGAUGAAUGAGGCAUCCACUAAAUGAGUUGCCAUCUUCUCUGGUAAGGCUUGCAAACUUGGGACUUCAAAUCCCAAAAACAUUAAAAUCAACUUAAAAUAUAAUGAAGGUCAUUGGUGCACUCACUACUAAGGAGGCUUGCUUCAAGCUACAUGGAAAGGAGAAAACUCUCAAUUGUCUCGUAGAACUAAAAGGUCAGCCCUCAAGAAAGACCUAUCAAGCAAAUUCAUAUUUUGAAAAUUCUAGCAAGACUUCUUCAUUCUCUUCAAUUGAAGAAGGAAUGCUUGCACUACGUGCUGAAAUUGAAUGUCUAAAAUCUCUCAUGGAUUCUAUAAGGAAGCCACCUUUUGGUACUUGCUUUCUAAGCAUGAUUGGUAACAAUUCCAAUUCAUUUUUUAAUGUUUUUAAAACUUUAUGUUAGGAUUGUUGGGUUCUAGACUGUGCCGUGACAAAUCAUAUGACCCCAUUUACAUCUUUUAACAUCAUAUGUUUAUCUUUUUGGAAACCACAUUACUAUUGUCAUUGGAACUCGUAUCUCAAUAAUUGGAUGUGGUAAUAUUUCUCUUUUGCCAUUUCUCAGCCUUAAAGAUGUCCUUCAUGUUCCCAAGCUUUCUAAUCACCUUAUUUUCGUUCAAAAACUUACUAAUGACCUAAUUGUUUUGUAACUUUUCCCACUCAUUAUGAAAGGUUAGGGAACACGGAGGAUUGUAUUUCCUUGACAACUUGGGAACCAAGGAUAGCAUCAAUGGACAAACUACUACCUUUUAUCACCAGUCUUGCACUACUUUUGAGUCUCGCCAAAUUUGGCUUCUCCACUGUCGUUUAGGACUUCCAUCUUUUUUUGUUCUAAUGUCUAUGUUUCCUUUAUUUUCUAGAGUUUGUUAAGUCAUUUAAAUGUGAUGUAUGCCAAGUUCCAAAGCACUCCUCGUAGUAAUAAAAGAGUGUUCAUCCUUUUGAUUUGAUUCAUUCUGAUGUUUUCAAACUCUAGUGUUUUUGGUGUUAAUGGUUUGCCACUUUUACUGAUGAUUGUAAUCGUGUCACAUGGAUUUUACUCAUGAACAAGCAAUCUGAAGUUUUUACCUUAUUUGUCAAAUUCUUCCGUAUUAUAAAAACACAAUUUGGAAAGUCAAUUAAACGAUUGCGUUCUUAUAAUGGGAGGAAAUAUGAAAAUCAUUACAUGUCUAAAUUCCUUUUGGAAAAUGGUAUUGUUCAUGAAUUCAAAUGUUUGGAUACACCAUAACAAAAUGACAUUGUUGAAAGAAAAAUAGGCAUCUUCUUGAAGUGAGACUGACACUUCUCUUCCAAAUGUAUUUCCCUAAUUCUUAUUAGGGGUGGCUAGCCUCACUGCUUCCUAUCUUUUCAACCGAUUACCCUCCCGAGUUCUAGAUGACCUUAGUCCCAUUGAGUCUAUGUCUUCCUUUCAAUUUGUUUCUUUUCUCUCCAGUCUUCAUAGUUUGGAUGAGUUCAAUUUUUCCAUAUUCAUAGUUAGUUUUGUGGGAAGUUAGAUCCUAGAGCUGGUAAAAUGCAUAUUCAUUACUUAUGCUUCUAAUAAAAAGAGAUAUCUCCAAGUCAAGUUUUUUACCUCUAUGGAUGUCACUUUUAAUGAAAUGCGUUUUUAGGGGGAGAGUUCUAUAGAAGCUGAGUCUUUUGAAUCUCUUGAGUCAUCUUUGUCCCUUUCAUUCAGGAACAAUGUCAUACUGAUACCACUCUUGAUACUUCUCUUGGCACACCUCAUAUGGACAUCUCUAAAGUUGCUCCUCACAAGGGCUUGACUUUUUGUGACUUUGUUGGAAUGCAUCAUGAAGCCAUAAAAAAAUUGUUCCUUUUUUGUUUUUCCUUGUCUGUAUUUUUAGUUUUGACCAAAUAGGCAAUUUUCAUUUAACCACAGAUGUUUUUUUAACCCAGAAUGACCCACAAGUAUCCGAGAAAGAUUUUGAAAGGAGUUUUGUUGAAGGAAACCCUUCUGAAAUUGAGGAAAAAAAUCUGUCACCCCUUUCUUCUGGGUUGAGAAGAAGGCCUGUGUAAGCUAUAGUUUGCCUUUCUUACUAUGCAUAUUUUGUAGGCUGUUUUACUGUUGCUGAUCUGAUUCAUUGGACAGACCCACAUCAAGUACAGAAGAAAGAGCACACGAGCUUGCUGAGACUGACAAUGCAUCACCUGUCAAAUUGGAUGCUAGUGCACAUGCACACAUUGAAAAGCACAGGUACUGUUUAGUGGCGUUGUUAUUUAAAGUUUAUGUAGUGGUGGGUCAAUAGACUCUGUACUGCUUUGGUGAAGAGCCGAAAACUUGCAAACCUUGUGUUCUUAUGUAAAGCUAAGUUGUCCACAACAACAACAAAGUAUAUUUUCUUCAGGUCAAGCACUGAUAUAUUAAUGUCAAUUGUCACAUCAUUAGUAACUGCCUGUUACCGUACUCUACUGGCUUAAUUUGGUAGUUUAUUUGGUCAUCAUUGACGAGCCCUCAGCAUGUUUUAUACUCUAGAAUGCUUCAAGAAGAUUUGACUGAUGAGAUGGUGGUGUUGGCAAAACAACUCAAAGAGAGUAGUCUUAUGAUGAGCCAGUCCCUGCAAAAUACUGAAAAGGUUCGAUUCUUAUAUUUUCAUUCAAUACCAGGGCUAAACGGUUGUACAAGAUGGUGAUGCUAACUAAUGUUAUCCAGGGCAAAGUUAAUUACAAGCAAAUCUUCUUUUGUAUCCUAUGAAGUUUUAUCUUAUUGUUUUACAAUUAAAAUAUAUCUCUUCGGAGGUGAUCUUGAUAGGAGUGAGUUACAAUAUAGAUGCACCAUUCCGCAUACUCUGAUGUUUUCUAUCCCCCCGAUGAAUAUAUAUGAAAUCAAAGGCAGUCCGAUUCUUAGGAUUGGGGUAUUCUUUGUAUGGUGGUUAUAUUAUUACAUUAAUCUAGUUUUCGUCUUCUUGAAAGUUCGUCUUAGAUUUAUUUUUGUAUUGCGGCAUAUGGCUAUAGCGGUGCUGUAAUAUUACUUCUACAACCACUGAGGGCAUGUUAAAAUGUUGAUUGAAUAGUCUUGAUUCAUAACCUUGUUUUUUGGUUGAUAAGAGUCUCAGAUGGGGAGUUUGAAAUGUAGAUGGUGGUUUAGGGCUAAUGAAUUGAUUGUGGCUGGCUUGCAGAUACUUGAUUCUACUGAGAAGGCCAUUGAGCAUAGUUUGGCAAGCACUGGUCGUGCCAAUGUGCGAGCAACGGCAAUCUACUCGGAGAGCUCCAAGACUUCUUGCUUAACAUGGCUUGUGAUGUUUGUGAUGACAUGUGUAUUUGUCAUGGUUAUUCUUCUAAUCCGUGUAACAUAGUGUAGUUCGGUUUCACCGGGUACAAGAAAUAGCUUUCAUUCAAUAUAACUUUUCCUAUAGUUUAAAUAUCUGUUUUCCGGUCACUCACCAUUCAUUUUGAAUGUUAACAUUGAUUAAAAGAAGCAAAUAAUUUUUUCAGAGGAAGUGUUAUAAAUGAGCUAUUACCAUAGUUUCAUGCGGUUUAUUUUUAAUUAAAACUUUUUGUUAACUCAUUUCUUAAUUUGUGUUUUUAGAAUACUAAAUAUGAAGACUGGAGUUGUUCAUAAAGUAUUAGUCAAUCAUGAGGCACAUUGAAUGGAGUUAAACUUUUGGAUGAUUUUCAGUCGUUUAGUAAUUCAGUCUACUUUUAUUACAUGGUUUUGAACUAUAUCAUUCUCGAGUUCAAUUCGAAGAACUCCCUUUCAAACCCAGUAUUAAAAUUUGUCUCCUCACUCCUUUGUCUUCAUUUUCUUUCAUCAAUGGGAAUCGUCUCUUUUCUUCUAGCAAUCUUUUUCACUUACAUUCCAAAUGAAAGCUUACAACACAGUUCAACAACAUUUCUAAAACUGUGUAUUUUCUGGCGCGGUUUGAAAAGGAUUGUUUUAGUUUAUUCGGUUUAACGAAGAUUCAUUUAUAUCUUUUUGAUGCAAUUAAAUUACCUUCCCAUCCCAAAAAAUAAUUGUGAUAUUAUUUUUUAGAUCGUAUCACUGAUGUACACAGUAUUUAGAAACUGUUAAAAGAUAAUUUUGAUUUCCUUUGAUACGGUAGAGAAACUAAGUUCCAUUAAAUUGAUUAAAAAUAUAUAUAACUUAUUAUCAAUUCUUUUUAGUUUUUUAACAGCAUCAACAGUUAAUUGGACAGCAAAACUUGUUCUGUUUUAUGAGUUGCGAUGCUUGUCCAUAUUUUUUUAGUUUUGGUAAUUUAUAAGAUUGAUUUGAGUUAAAUGUGAAUUUGACACUAUUGUUAUUAUAAAACAACUAAUUUUUUAUUCUAUAAAAUUACAAUUAUUUUCCUUAAUAAUUUUGUAUAAAUUAUUAUAAAUAUUUUAAAGAAAUUUUGAAGAAAAUACAUAAUCACUCAUAAUUGAUUCCACCUUUAUUAAUAUUUACGUAUGGAACUAUUUCUUUUAUUGUAAAAGUUCAAUUUUUUUCUUAGGUUUUAUCAUGAAUCGUGGGAAGGGUAUUGCAACGGAGUCAUUUGUAGGUAUCUGUGAACACAAAAAAUGAAUUACAAACAUGAAUUUUUGACAGUUGAAUGUCAUGAUCAAUGAAGCAUUUAUGGGUAAUCGCAUUGACGGUAGUUGGAUGACCUAGGGUUACACAAACAUCGUUAAAUCCCUACAUGAAAGUGGACUGGUAAGGAUUACAAAAAAAUCAUGUGAAGAACAAGAAUAAAAUCCUUAAGGACAGAUGGCGUGAAAUCCAUGAUCUAUUUAGUGGACUGAGUGGUUUCGCAUGGAAUCAAACUCAAAAAUUUUUGAGGUUAAGGAUGAAGUGUGUGAUGUGUUGAUAAAGGUAACGUAUUCAACUUGAUGUUGACUUAUCGUAUACAUUAACCAUUAAUUAUGAAUAUCAAUGUAUUUCUGUUCAUUAAUGAACAGGAAAAACCCACAGUCGCAAAGUGGCACACGUUAAACCCAUUAGGCACUACAACUCGAUGGAAAACUUAUGGAGGCUUGAUCGUGCUAGCGGCCACAAUUGGAAAACAACACUACAGUCAUCAAGUUUAACUCAGACUCAUAAUUUUAAUGUAGACCUUAACGAUCACAAUAAAGGGUACAUCCUGGAAGAGUCAGAUAUUGAUGCAAUCCAAUGUGAAACUCCUUGCUCAGUUGGCCCUAAUGAUGAUUCAUAUAGUCCUGAACCUAAUCUAACACCCUCAUCGAUGCCACCUCAAUCAUCCCAACUAUUAGGUGGUACUUCUUCUUCUAGGGGAUAAAAAAGAAAAGCCCUCAUGGUGGACGUCAUUGAUAUACAAUUGGAAAGGCUUAAUACAAGGUUUGAAGGAUAAUUGAUAUCCUUGGGAGGGGUAGCGAUCAGUCAGAUAGGUUAUGUUAUAUUGUUGAGCAACAAGCCAUUUCACAGCGAGUGGUUAAUCCUAUAAAAGAAAAUCUGCAAUAUAACAGACGUCAUGUUAUUGCAGAAGAAGAAAAAAAGUCCAUAUUUCGUAAACACACGCACACACUCCGUCGUACAUCGACUUUUCAGUACUUUGAAUCUGAUAUCUGGAAAAUGUUAGUGGAAAUGAACAUACAACAUGAAGAUCCGUUGGAUAACUGUUAUGACUUCUUGUGUGGUCAUCCUAAUGCGGUAAAACAACUCUUUGGUCUACCUCUCGAGCGACGAAUGAGAAAGUUUGUGGAGAUAAUUACUGCAAAUCCCUAAACUAUGUAAAAAUUUGGUUGUCUUUUAUUAUGCAUAUGUGGUUUUCUUUUUCGGAUCUAUAAUCUUAAAUAUGACACGAAUGCACAUUUAUAAUAUUUGUUAUGCACAGACUUUAUCCAUGAAUUUCGCUUUAAAUUAUAAUUUAUUGCAGUAAUAUUUAUUUCAUAAAUAUUUUUUGUUUCAUCAAAUUAUAUAUCCAAUAGAGUAUCGAAAAUAAUAUGCUCCAACACAAUAACAAAAACAAUCUUUUAAUUUCAUACAGUUAUAAUUAAAAAAAAAAAAAUCACAAUUACAAUUUUUUUUUUCUAAAUAAAGUUUCUGACAAUUGUAAACAUGGUACGCAAAUUUUACAUUAUUUAUAUUUUUUUCGAAGUUAGCUCUAACACAAUACCGGAAUAAUAUUUCAAUUAUCGAAAAUAAUAUUUUAUUUCAAAACAAUUAUAAUUCACAAAUAAUCAAUCCAAUAAUUUUUAAAUACAAGGGCAAAUAUGUAAACUUACAUUUUUUAAAAUUAAAAAAAUAAAUUUCAAUCACAUCCAUCACAUCACUCAUAAACUUUUAUAAACUUUUUCUAUUUAUCUUAAUCCAAACAACCUAAUUUUCUUCACAAUUUCCCUUCAAAUCAUCUCAAAUCAAAUCUCUCAAUCCUGGAGGUGAAUGUUAAUGCAUGUAAUUCAAUGUCCAAGGAUAUCAUAGGAAAUUCUAAUAGGCUUAAUUGCAACUUUUGGAUCAUUUGCACACCAUUAAUUUGAACCUUUUCCAUGGCAUUGGAGAAAAAUAUCCCUGAAGUUGUAAGUUGUUCUCUUUGCUACCUAGGUCUCUUAUUUUCUUUUUAUAAAAAUUUAUUUGUAUCUCCACAAACUAAGUGAAUAAAAUUACUCUCUAAGUCUCAUAAACGCACAACACAAAAAAUCUCAAUAAAAACCUACAAAAACUACAUAAUUUUUUUACAUCAACUUAAAAUGUCACAUACAUUUCAUGUUUCGCUCUAGACUAGACUAGUUGCAUUUAUAAAAUUAAUCAAAAUGAGUUGUUUUAAACAAAUUUAGAAUUACAUUAACUAAAAUAAAAAGUUUAGGAACAAAUUGAUUUGUUACUAGUUAUAUUGAGACCAACAUUGGUAUGGAGCUAGCAAAUUUAAUAUAAUAGUUGUUUUAGCUAUAAUGUCUAGAAUAUAUUAACUACACUCUUUGGAAGAUUUUUCAAACAUCUAAAAAAAGUGCACAAUUUUUCUUCUUUGUACACUCGUAAUACAAAGUGUAUGAUGAAGUAUAAGUCAAAUUUGUUUAGUUUCACAUCCUCUAUUACUAACACUUUUUUGUGUUAAUUAAAAUAACAACAAAGUCUGUAUAUUUAAGUUUAAAUUCAAUAAUAAGAUUAAUAUUAACCUAGACACAAGACAAAUACUCUAGGUUUUAGAUACAUCAAGAGACACUUCAACUCUCCAUAUAGAAGUUUGGAUGCUUCAAAUGCUUUUGAUCUACUAUCCAUUAUUCCUCUCUUCUAUAGUGUUACUUUUUUGACAAUUAUUAAUUUAUCAAACUUAAAUAUUAAUCAUUGCUUAAUUAUUAAUAAUAUUCAGAUAUGAUGAUGAAAAUGACUCUGAGUGGUGAAUGACUUUAGUAUCAUUGUUACUACUUCAUGACAAGUCAUUUCUAUUUUAAUAAUGUAAAUCAUCGUAAAAGAUACUAAAAAGAAUGAUCGAUAUAAAUGUAAUGUGUUGAGAUAUAUAGAAUUUCAUGUGUAUAAUUUAGAUCCAUGUAGACAUUAAAUUAUUGGUCUAUAAUAUUAUAGACACACGUAAUUAAAUUUUUAUCAAAGAAUGUAAAUUGUGUGAUAAAAUAUAAAUAAUUUUGUUUACACAUGGAAACAAAUAUUCAUCCUUAAAAAGUAAAGGAAUUGAAAUGGUAGUAUACUAGUUACAAUUUAGCAUGUAAACUAUAAUGAUUCAACAUUAAUGAUUUUUUAUUAACUUUAUGCCUGAUGUGUCAAUGCUUAUUUGAGUUUUAUGAAGGAUCUGAAAGUAGCAUUUCUUUAUUGUAGAACAACAAAUAUUUAUGUUAUUAAAAAAAUUGUUUACAUUGACUAUUUGAAAUAUGAAUUCCCUUAAAGGGAUUUUUAAAAUUAGUCAUAAUUUGUGUGUGUUGUGAUAUUAUUUAUUUUAUAACCUAAAAAUGUAAUAAUUUAUUGUAUUAAAAUUAUUAGUUCUCCAUUGUAUUGAAAAGUGCAAUGAUGUUAAUUGAAAUGUUAGUUCAAACGAGACAUCUUAUAAAUACUAUUAUGUUGAUACACUUAGUUGCAAUGUAUUAUUUGGGAUCACUCAAACAAAAUCAUGGAAUUAGAAUUUAUUACUUUUGAUAUGACUAGUUAUGUACCAUGUGGUUGAAAAACCUCUUUGUAAAUAUUAUUUUGAACAUAUAAGUUGAAAAAUUACGAGAUUAAAACACUUGGUAAGACAAAAAAAAAAAUUGUGCAUAAAGUCAAUUAUAUAUUUUGUUAAUCCACUCGACUUAAAUUUUAUGAGAAGAGAAAUUUAGUAAGGCAUAUACAUGAAUGAAUUUAAGUCAUUUGAAAAAAAAAACAGUGACAUCUUUGAAGAUUCUUUGGAUAAGAUUCAUAGGUAAGGAUAAAAUAUCUAUAUCUACUAACAUUAAAUUAGCAUAAGUCAAUUUUCAUUUCCUUUCAUACGAUAUAAUAAAGUAUUGGACAUUAUAUUGAGAUUAAACUGAAUGAUGUAAAAAUGUCUAAUAUAACACAAUGUUUUAUCACAUAGAUAACUCUUUUAGACCAUGUAUGUUUUACACCAUACAUUUAAUGAAAUUACAUAUAUAAAUGUAUACGUAAGUAUAAUACAUGAAAAAAUCUAUAAAACAAUCACAAAUAUUAAUUGAUUUUAUUUUUAUAAAAAGAUUAUUGAUUGUAUCUUUAAUAAUUUUUUAUAUUAAACAAUUGUAAAACUUUUGUAUUUAAUUACAAUUUAUUAAUGUUACCAUUAUUUAUGCCAAUUAUUUAAUAAUAGAAAAAAUUCAUUAAUGCUCACUUAAAAUAAACAAAUAAGUAACAAUAAAACAAAUAAUAUACAAUGUUAAUGUCAUUUGGAUGUCAUUGUCUUUUUUAUCCUUGUCUAUCUAUAAACCUUAACUACCAAGACUAAAUUUUAAUAAUAUUAAUUGUACUCAAUUUUAUUUAAUAAUUAAUGGUAAUAUUUUAUCACUCUCUCUAUAAAAUAUUGAUACUUAGACAAAUAUUAAUUUCUAUAACAGAACCUUCCAAAGAAACUAUGGAAAUUUGAGUUAAUAAGUGAUAUUAAAUUACACAAUAUUAUGAGAAACCUUUCCACCAAUUAAAUACUACAAAUCAAUUAAAUGUACCGUAUAUAUUUAUAUGUUUGUUUCAUCAGUUUAAAAAAAUGGUUCAUCAUCAGUUGUACAAUUCUUUCAAAGUAGGUUUAAUUGUCUUAGAAGUUUAGGGUUUACCGUAAAUAAUUAAAAAUUAUUAAAAAUCAGAUAACAAAAUAAAUAAACAUUUUAAAAUAUAAUCCUAAAUGAUUGGAUAAUAAGGAUGAUAUUAUUUAGUUUUUAAUACAAUAAAAAUUAUAAUAUUAAUAUAAUAACUUUAAUUUUAUUUAAACUUUAUUAAUAAGUAAUAUAAUGGAACAUGCACACUUGUUUUUUUAAAUAAAACUAAUGUUAAUAUAUGAUUGAAAAAAAAUAUAUAAAAAAUAAAGCAGAAAAAACUUUUUCAAAAAUUAAUUACACAUUAACAUUAAUUUUGUAAUAUAUACGUGAAAUUAGUAAAGACUACAACCUGUUUAAUUAUCUUAAUAUUAAUAAAAUAUAAAUAAAAUUAAAAUUAAAAUUUUGUUGUUAUAUUAAAAAUCGAAUAUAAUCAUACUUGAUGAAGUGUUUAUCAUAAAAUUAUAUUAUUUUAACUGUGAUUACACUGUAUAUAUGCUUUUAUGAUAAGAAUGUUAUUGCUGUUGAUUUAAAAUAUACAAUUAUUUUACCAUGAUUAUCGAGUUUUAUUAAUUUUAGGGUUAUUAUGCUGUAAAGGGGAGAGAGUGAAAAAACAAAAACGAAGGAAAAAAAAAGUGUGGGGGGAAACAAAGAAAGGUCGAGCCUGUUCUUGCAACCUGCGACUGCGCCAGCGGAAAUCGAAGGGCGACAAAGCUUGCAUCCGAUUCUGGGAAGACGAGGGUUCUCUACCUGUUCCCUUUAUAGUCUGUAAGUCGCUACAAUUUUCUCUUUAUUUUCCAUUUUCCUUAUCUUGUUUGAAGCGUGUUUGAUCGAUCUAUCACUUUCCCUAAUAUAUUUUCAAUUCACUCCAUUUUUCUUUAUCAUUCCCCUCCCAAUUUCACUUUUAUCAACUGGUUUGUACAAACCCUUUUGGAAUGCCG
rnacentral:lncRNA from 1 species